UAUAUCUACAGUGCUGUUAGCUAUAUCUACAGUGUUAUGUUAGCUAUAUCUACAGUGCUGUUAGCUAUAUCUAAAGUGUUAUGUUAGCUAUAUCUACAGUGCUGUUAGCUAUAUCUAAAGUGUUAUGUUAGCUAUAUCUACAGUGCUGUUAGCCAUAUCUACAGUGCUGUUAGCUAUAUCUACAGGGUUAUGUUAGCUAUAUCUACAGUGUUAUGUUAGCUAUAUCUACAGUGUUAUGUUAGCUAUAUCAUCAGUGUUAUGUUAGCUAUAUCAUCAGUGUUAUGUUAGCUAUAUCUACAGUGCUGUUAGCUAUAUCUACAGGGUUAUGUUAGCUAUAUCAUCAGUGUUAUGUUAGCUAUAUCAUCAGUGUUAUGUUAGCUAUAUCUACAGUGUUAUGUUAGCUAUAUCUACAGUGUUAUGUUAGCUAUAUCUACAGGGUUAUGUUAGCUAUAUCAUCAGUGUUAUGUUAGCUAUAUCAUCAGUGUUAUGUUAGCUAUAUCAUCAGUGUUAUGUUAGCUAUAUCUACAGUGUUAUGUUAGCUAUAUCUACAGUGUUAUGUUAGCUAUAUCUACAGUGUUAUGUUAGCUAUAUCUACAGGGUUAUGUUAGCUAUAUCUACAGUGCUGUUAGCUAUAUCUACAGGGUUAUGUUAGCUAUAUCUACAGGGUUAUGUUAGCUAUAUCAUCAGUGUUAUGUUAGCUAUAUCUACAGGGUUAUGUUAGCUAUAUCUAGUGUUAGCUACCCCUUGACUUUUUACACAUUUUGUUACGUUACAGCCUUAUUAAAAAACGGAUUAAAUAGUUUUUUUCACUCAUCACUCUACACACAAUACCCCAUAAUGACAAAGCAAAAGGUUUCAUUUUUAUUUGCACAUUUAUUAAAAAUAAGAAACAGAUACCUUAUUAACCUAAGUAUUCAGACCCUUUGCUAUGAGACUAAAGAUUGAGCUCAGGUGCAUCCUGUUUCCGUUCAUCAUCCUUGAGAUGUUUCUACAACUGGAUUGGAGUGCACCUGUGGUAAAUUAAAUUGAUUGGACAUAAUUUGGAAAGGCACCUGUCUAUAUAAGGUCCCACAGUUGACAAUGCACGUCAGAGCAAAAAGCAAGCCAUGAGGUCGAAGAAAUUGUCCGUAGAGCUCCGAGACAGGAUUGUGUCGAGGCACAGAUCUGGGGAAGGGUACCAACACAUUUCUGCAGCAUUGAAGGUCCCCAAGAACACAGUGGCCUCCAUCAUUCUUCAAUGGAAGAAGUUUGGAACCAACAAGACUUUUCCUAGAGCUGGCCGCUCGGCCAAACUGAGCAAUCGGGGGAGAAGGGCCUUGGUCAGGGAUGUGACCAAGAAUCCGAUGGUCACUCUGACAGAGCUCCAGAGUUCCUCUGUGGUGAUGGGAGAACCUUCCAGAAGGGCAACCAUCUCUGCAGCACUCCACCAAUCAGGCCUUUAUGGUAGAGUGGCCAGACGGAAGCCACUCCUCAGUAAAAGGCACAUGACAGCCCGCUUGGAGUUUGUCAAAAGACACCUAAAGUACUCAGACCAUGAAAAACAAGAUUCUCUGGUCUGAUGAAACGAAAAUUGAACUCUUUGGCCUGAAUGGAAAGCGUGAACGGAGCAAAGUACAGAGAGAUCCUUGAUGAAAACCUGCUCCAGAGUGCUUAGGACCUCAGACCGGGGUGAAGGCUCACCUUUCAACAGGACAACGACCCUUAGCACACAGCCAAGACAACGCAGGACUGGCUUGAAUGUUCUUGAGUGGCCCAGCCAGAGCCCAGACUUGAACCCGAUCGAACAUCUCUGGAGAGACCUGAAAAUAGCUGUGCAGCAAUGCUCCCCAUCCAACCUGACAGAGCUUGAGAGGAUCUGCAGAGAAGAAUGGGCAAAACUCCGCCAAAUACAGGUGUGCCAAGCUUGUAGCGUCAUACCCAAGAAGACUCCAGGCUGUAAUCGCUGCCAAAGGUGCUUCAUCAAAGUACUGAGUAAAGAGUCUGAAUACAAAUGUAAAUGUGGUAUUUCAUUUAUUUAUUUUUUAUACAUUUGCAAAAAAUUCUAAAAAACUGUUUUUGCUUUGGAAUUAUGUGGUAUUGUGUGUAGAUUGAUGAGGUCAUUUUUUGUUUAUCAAUUUUAGAAUAAGGCUGUAACUUAACAAAAUAUGGAAAAAGUCAAGGGGUCUAAAUACUUUCUGAAUGCACUGUGUAGAUGUAUAGAUAGAUAAACCUUCACUAAAAGGUGCUUCCUUUAGAGUGGGGCUCUUGGUUUCAUCCAAAAUGGCACCCCAUUCCCUAUACUGUGUAGUGUACUUCUUUUAACCAUGGCCUAUAGGGCUUUGGCAAAAGUACUGCACUAUAUAGGGAAUAGGUUGCCAUUUGGGACGCAACUUAUGGCUCUUGUACAGUAACCCCUAGUAACAGUAGAAGGGGAUAUCUAUUUAGUGGGAUGUUUUACUGAGUAGCGCAGAAGCUAGUGUCUACCCAUGAGCACUUUUCUCAACUUAUUUUCUCUCUCCUUCUCUGCUUAUUUCUUCCACAUUUCUCUCUCUCCUCUUUCUUCCCUCUUCCCCGCGGGACUGUUUUCUCUUCUGCUUCGUUCUUUCCUUCCGUUCCUCUUCAGCGGAGGUGUCUCGCUACCAUAGUUACCUGCGGUUGCCGUGGGAAUAGCAGCUGUCUGUCAGUCACGCUCCUGUUGUCAGGCUAUCGUCAAGGGGUAGUUGACGGAUGAAAGUUUUGAUUAUGAAGAUCAUUAUUUGAAAGUUUAUUUAUUUAUUAGUUUAUUUAUUUAUUAGUUUAUUUAUUUAUCAGGGUUUGUCUGGUUGAAAUGAAAACAUUAAACAUUUUAAACUGUAAGAAAAAUGUUCACUCAGCCUUCUCUCGCGCUCUCCUCUCUCUCUCUCUCUCUCUCUCUCUCUCUCUCUCUCUCUCUCUCUCUCUCUCUCCCUCUCUCUCCCCUCUCUCUCCCUCCCUCUCUCUCCUCUCUCUCCUCUCUCUCUCUCCCUCUCUCCUCUCUCUCUCUCAUCUCUCUCUCCUCUCUCUCUCUCUCCUCUCUCUAUGCUGUUCAGUAGAUUGAAAUAAUAACACACGAGUCGUCUGUUGAGUUGGUACCUCAAACAAAGUUUUAAUUAAGCUUGGAGAAAAAUAAAGACAAAUGUUUGGUCUUUCUGAACAACUAACCAACGCUUUGACCUUGUUUCCUGAAAAGUACAUCUAUAGUCUCUCUACAAAGUUUUCCCAACAACACAUUAUAAUGGAAUGAGAUAAAAGUCAUGCAAUUAUGGAAGACAGUGUACACCACACACACACACACACACACACACACACACACACACACACACACACACACACACACACACACACACACACACACACACAUACACACACACACACACACACACACACACACACACACACACACACACACACACACACACACAGUAAUAAGACAAAGAUAUACACACAGUCCAGAUGUAGUUUCUUAAUGUUGUUUUGUUCUCUGUAGUUCUCUCUUGUCUUAACAUCUUAAAUAACAUAAAGUCCACAGGAACUUCUUUAAUCCAAAUAAAAGGAAUAAUAAAAUCAUUAAAAAAAAUAUAUAAUAAUACAUUAUAUUAGAAUGAAACAUCCAUAAAUCCAUAUCACUUUUGUGAAGUCUUUUUUUAAAGAAAAGAAAAGGAAUAUAAAACUAACGUAUCAACACAAACAGAGCCAAGGAAUCGCAUAGCAACGAGAUAAGGGAGUGGAACCAAUCAGUAGAAAGAAAGACUGACAUGUGACUGGUAGGGGGCAUAAACAGUGGCGUGAUGCUAUACAUGUACUGUCUAUAUCACCAGAGGUGGAAAAGUACCUAAUUGUCAUACUUGAGUAAAAGUAAAGAUACUUUAAUAGAAAAUGACUCAAGUAUAAGUGAAAGUCACCCACUUAUAUACUACUUGAGUCUUAAAGUAUUUGGUUUUAAAUAUACUUAUAUCAAAAGUAAAAGUAUAAAUAAUUUAAAAUACCUUAUAUUAAGGAAACCAAACGGCACCAUUUGUGUUUUUUAAAUGUACGUAUAGCCAGGGACACACUCUAACACUAAGAUAUAAUUUAUAAACGAAGCGUGUGUGUUUAGUGAGUCCGUCAGAUCAGAGGCAGUAGGGAUGACCAGGGAUGUUCUCUGUUUAGUGAGUCCUCCAGAUCAGAGGCAGUAGGGAUGACCAGGGAUGUUCUCUGUUUAGUGAGUCCUCCAGAUCAGAGGCAGUAGGGAUGACCAGGGAUGUUCUCUGUUUAGUGAGUCCUCCAGAUCAGAGGCAGUAGGGAUGACCAGGGAUGUUCUCUGUUUAGUGAGUCCUCCAGAUUGAUAAGUGUGUGAAUUGGACCAUUUUCCUGUCCUGCUAAGCAUUCAAAAUGGGUGUCAGGAAAAAUGUAUGGAGUAAAAAAGUACAUUAUUUUCUUUAGGAAUGUAGUGAAGUAGAAGUUGUAUAAGUAGUAAAGUAUAGAUACCCCCCAAAAACUACUUAAGUAAUAGUUUCAAGUUUUUUUACUUAAGUACUUUACAUAAAUGGGCAUACACACACACACACACACACACACACACACACACACACACAAAGGGAAUGGGCUGUACUGAUAUGGGCAAACACAGACGAUAACACAGACAAAAAACUAACAACAAACAGACUAAUAAUCAAACAACAACAAAAAAAAACAAUUAAAAUAAACAAACAAACAAAAACAAUACAGUUACCUAACUGUUACCUGACUGUUACCUAACUGUUACCUGAC
rnacentral:lncRNA from 1 species